rnacentral:miRNA from 14 species
ACUCUGUUUUGUUGUUGUUUGUGUUUUCAUUGCCAGCUGGGCUGAAAAUGUGAAGCUUCCCAACAAACAGCAGCAACAACAACAGCAGCAGCAGCAGGAGCAGCAGCAGCAGCAGCAGCAGCAGCAGCAGCAGCAG